rnacentral:lncRNA from 1 species
AAUAAAAUUGGAAUGCAUCUCUAUGCAACAAUGAAAGAAAAAUAGCAAUAUUAAAAAUACAUCAAAUACAACUCUAGAGGGAAGUGAAUUUUUAUUCAAGGACUUUUAAGAAUUCUGACAUUGAAAAGACAUCUUUGCUUGAGGAGGCAGCUGAAUGUGUUUCUAACUUACAGUCAAAGAUCAUUUGCAUAGAAUACCAAAAGAGCCAUUUUUUUUUUUUUAAUUCAGAGAAAGAACAUCUAUCAGAGUUUGGCAGGAUGCAUCCUGCCAGGAUUCUUCUCUUUUCUACAGAAACUGACCAUUUGAAAAAGUCUUUCUAUGAUUGGUGCCACAAUAAAGCUCUUGUACCGGAUUCUGCAACAAAAUGUAAAUUAAUGGAAUGUGAAAAAUGGAAGGACUGCAAGGGAAAGGAUCAAAGGCCACAGAAGAAAUGGGGCAUGCCCCCGUUCUGUUUCUCCAAUAACCUCAUCCCAGAACCUGGAGGUCCUUCUCUUCCCAUCGCUGCCCUGUCACUAGCAGGAUUCCUCCCUCUUCUUUCCACAAGUGAACACCUCUCCUGUUCUAGGAGCUGGGGAUUCAGUAGUGAAUGAGACAGGCAAGGUCCCUGCUGUCAUGGAGUCUGCAUCCUAGUGUAGGUAAUAAGACAAUGAACAAAGUAAUUUUCAAAGCAAACAAAAUAGGGGGUGCUCUGGAGAGUACAUGGAGAUCUGUUGUAGAGGGUUGGUUGAGGAGGGUUUCUCUAAGAAUCAAUGCUCAGGCUGAAACUGGAAUGACCAGAUGGAGACAGCCCGGAGAAGAACUGUCAGUGCAUUCCAGGGAGGGAAGACCAAAUGCAAUGUCUUAAGAGGAGAAAAGCCUGGCAGGUUCCUGGAAUAGAAAGAAGGCGUGUGGGCCCAAUGUAUAUGAUGGAGAGAGGUAGGAAAUGAACUCAGAGAGGCUGUCAGCACACAGACCAUAUUCAACAUUGGAGUCCCCUAAGGAGUUUGGAUGUUGUCCUCAGUAUAGUCAUGGGGUGCAUAGCAAUGUUUUGGUCAAUGACAGACUUCAUGCACAACACUGGUCCCAAUAAGAUCAUAAUGGAGCUGAAAAUUCCUGUCACCUAGUGAUGUCUUUAUGAUCCUGACCCUGUGUUUCCCUAGGCUAAUGUGUGUGUUUGUGUCUUAGUUUUUAACAAAAAUGCUUAAAAAGUAAAAAAUGAAACAUUUUUAAAAAUAGAAAAAACUUAUAGAAUAAGGAUAUAAAGACAACAUUUUGUACAGCUGUACAAUCUGUGUUUUAAGCUAAGUGUA